GACGAACGCUGGCGGCGUGCUUAACACAUGCAAGUCGAACGGAAAGGCCCUGCUUUUGUGGGGUGCUCGAGUGGCGAACGGGUGAGUAACACGUGAGUAACCUGCCCUUGACUUUGGGAUAACUUCAGGAAACUGGGGCUAAUACCGGAUAGGAGCUCCUGCUGCAUGGUGGGGGUUGGAAAGGUUCGGCGGUUGGGGAUGGACUCGCGGCUUAUCAGCUUGUUGGUGGGGUAGUGGCUUACCAAGGCUUUGACGGGUAGCCGGCCUGAGUGGGUGACCGGCCACAUUGGGACUGAGAUACGGCCCAGACUCCUACGGGAGGCAGCAGUGGGGAAUAUUGCACAAUGGGCGGAAGCCUGAUGCAGCAACGCCGCGUGCGGGAUGACGGCCUUCGGGUUGUAAACCGCUUUCGCCUGUGACGAAGCGUGAGUGACGGUAAUGGGUAAAGAAGCAACGGCUAACUACGUG
rnacentral:rRNA from 1 species